UGCANGUCGNACGCUUCUUUUUCCACCGGAGCUUGCUCCACCGGAAAAAGAGGAGUGGCGAACGGGUGAGUAACACGUGGGUAACCUGCCCAUCAGAAGGGGAUAACACUUGGAAACAGGUGCUAAUACCGUAUAACAAUCAAAACCGCAUGGUUUUGAUUUGAAAGGCGCUUUCGGGUGUCGCUGAUGGAUGGACCCGCGGUGCAUUAGCUAGUUGGUGAGGUAACGGCUCACCAAGGCCACGAUGCAUAGCCGACCUGAGAGGGUGAUCGGCCACAUUGGGACUGAGACACGGCCCAAACUCCUACGGGAGGCAGCAGUAGGGAAUCUUCGGCAAUGGACGAAAGUCUGACCGAGCAACGCCGCGUGAGUGAAGAAGGUUUUCGGAUCGUAAAACUCUGUUGUUAGAGAAGAACAAGGAUGAGAGUAACUGUUCAUCCCUUGACGGUAUCUAACCAGAAAGCCACGGCUAACUACGUGCCA
rnacentral:rRNA from 1 species